rnacentral:rRNA from 1 species
GACGAACGCUGGCGGCGUGCUUAACACAUGCAAGUCGAACGGAAAGGCCCUGCUUUUGUGGGGUGCUCGAGUGGCGAACGGGUGAGUAACACGUGAGUAACCUGCCCUUGACUUUGGGAUAACUUCAGGAAACUGGGGCUAAUACCGGAUAGGAGCUCCUGCUGCAUGGUGGGGGUUGGAAAGUUUCGGCGGUUGGGGAUGGACUCGCGGCUUAUCAGCUUGUUGGUGGGGUAGUGGCUUACCAAGGCUUUGACGGGUAGCCGGCCUGAGAGGGUGACCGGCCACAUUGGGACUGAGAUACGGCCCAGAAUCCUACGGGAGGCAGCAGUGGGGAAUAUUGCACAAUGGGCGGAAGCCUGAUGCAGCAACGCCGCGUGCGGGAUGACGGCCUUCGGGUUGUAAACAGCUUUCGCCUGUGACGAAGAGUGAGUGACGGUAAUGGGUAAAGAAGCACCGGCUAACUACGUG